rnacentral:rRNA from 1 species
AUUGAACGCUGGCGGCAGGCCUAACACAUGCAAAUCGAGCGAGAGGCGGACGGGUGAGUAAUGUAUGGGGAUCUGCCUGAUAGAGGGGGAUAACUACUGGACACGGUGGCUAAUACCGCAUACUAUAGGAUGAGCCCAUAUGGGAUUAGCUUGUGGGUGGGGUAAAGGCUCACCAAGGCGACGAUCUCUAGCUGGUCUGAGAGGAUGAUCAGCCACACUGGAACUGAGACACGGCCCAGACUCCUACGGGAGGCAGCAGUGGGGAAUAUUGCACAAUGGGCGCAAGCCUGAUGCAGCCAUGCCGCGUGUAUGAAGAAGGCCUUAGGGUUGUAAAGUACUUUCAGCGGGGAGGCGUUACCCGCAGAAGAAGCACCGGCUAACUCCGUGCCAGCCGCCGCGGUAAUAC